GUAAUGCCGGAUGCUCCAUCACACCGCAUGGUGUGUUGGGAAAGCCUUUGCGGCAUGGGAUGGGGUCGCGUCCUAUCAGCUUGAUGGCGGGGUAACGGCCCACCAUGGCUUCGACGGGUAGCCGGCCUGAGAGGGCGACCGGCCACAUUGGGACUGAGAUACGGCCCAGACUCCUACGGGAGGCAGCAGUGGGGAAUAUUGCACAAUGGGCGCAAGCCUGAUGCAGCGACGCCGCGUGAGGGAUGGAGGCCUUCGGGUUGUAAACCUCUUUUGUUAGGGAGCAAGGCAUUUUGUGUUGAGUGUACCUUUCGAAUAAGCACCGGCUAACUACGUGCCAGCAGCCGCGGUAAUACGUAGGGUGCAAGCGUUAUCCGGAAUUAUUGGGCGUAAAGGGCUCGUAGGCGGUUCGUCGCGUCCGGUGUGAAAGUCCAUCGCUUAACGGUGGAUCCGCGCCGGGUACGGGCGGGCUUGAGUGCGGUAGGGGAGACUGGAAUUCCCGGUGUAACGGUGGAAUGUGUAGAUAUCGAAA
rnacentral:rRNA from 1 species